rnacentral:lncRNA from 1 species
UUUUAUAGGUAUUUUUUGCUAUAAAUUCAGUACAAUUUCCUUUACAAAUCGAACUGUUCGUAUUUUACGCAUCACCACUAUUGCUGGAACUGAGCAACACAUACACUAAAAUACUCGAAAUCUCGUGGGGAUUCGGAAUUCGUGAACAAUUUAGACUGCGUGUGUCUCAUUUGGUCGGAAAUGGCCCCAACACUAGCUUUGCCACUGCCAUCCCUGGCGGUUCCGGCAUCCGAGCUUCGUCACCGGAAUUGGUAGAGAGGAAAAGCUCGCCUGGAGGAGAGGAGUCAUUCCAGACCCAUCUCGAGGCCUAGUCUCAUCGAAAUCAAUAAGGACAGCCAAAAAAUUGAGGAAUAACGGCUAUUGACGGAAGCAGUCCCGAUUCACGCUAAUAGAAGCCUUUUCUGCAUGCAAGAAAACUGAAAACAUGACCAGUAACAGAAGUUGAGUCGAUCGCCACCUUGCUCUUCGUCGAGCAAUGGCCGAAAACGGGAAGGAGGGGGAGAGCGGUGCUGUGUGUAUUUUUAUUUUAUUUUUUUGUCUUUGGUCUUUAUAUAUAUAGUCUGAUUUGGUCCAAAUCGAUUGGUUUGGUUCAAACCAAGUUUUAAAAUAUUUUGCCUUGGUUUUUGAGCGGUUCAGACCCGAUUUAAGUGGUUUUUGAUUUGAAUUUUAACCCAACUAAUUUCAU